rnacentral:rRNA from 1 species
UACAGAGGGGGCAAGCGUUGUUCGGAAUUCCUGGGCGUAAAGGGCGCGUAGGCGGCCUUCUAAGUCGAACGUGAAAUCCCUGGGCUCAACCCAGGAACUGCGUCCGAUACUGGAAGGCUUGAAUCCGGGAGAGGGAUGCGGAAUUCCAGGUGUAGCGGUGAAAUGCGUAGAUAUCUGGAGGAACACCGGUGGCGAAGGCGGCAUCCUGGACCGGUAUUGACGCUGAGGCGCGAAAGCCAGGGGAGCAAACGGG